rnacentral:rRNA from 1 species
ACUUGUGGCUGGGGGUGAAAGGCCAAUCAAACCGGGAGAUAGCUGGUUCUCCCCGAAAGCUAUUUAGGUAGCGCCUCGGACGAAUACUACUGGGGGUAGAGCACUGUUAAGGCUAGGGGGUCAUCCCGACUUACCAACCCUUUGCAAACUCCGAAUACCAGUAAGUACUAUCCGGGAGACACACGGCGGGUGCUAACGUCCGUCGUGGAGAGGGAAACAACCCAGACCGCCAGCUAAGGUCCCAAAGUAUAGCUAAGUGGGAAACGAUGUGGGAAGGCUCAGACAGCCAGGAUGUUGGCUUAGAAGCAGCCAUCAUUUAAAGAAAGCGUAAUAGCUCACUGGUCGAGUCGGCCUGCGCGGAAGAUGUAACGGGGCUAAGCUAUACACCGAAGCUGCGGCUACGCACUUAUGUGCGUGGGGUAGGGGAGCGUUCUGUAAGCCGUUGAAGGUGGUCUGUAAGGGCUGCUGGAGGUAUCAGAAGUGCGAAUGCUGACAUGAGUAACGAUAAAGGGAGUGAAAAACUCCCUCGCCGGAAGACCAAGGGUUCCUGUCCAACGUUAAUCGGGGCAGGGUAAGUCGACCCCUAAGGCGAGGCCGAAAGGCGUAGUCGAUGGGAAACGGGUUAAUAUUCCCGUACUUCUUACAAUUGCGAUGGGGGGACGGAGAAGGCUAGGUGGGCCUGGCGACGGUUGUCCAGGUUCAAGUACGUAGGCGGAAAGUUUAGGUAAAUCCGGACUUUCAUAACGCUGAGAUACGAUGUCGAGCUACUACGGUAGUGAAGUCAUUGAUGCCAUGCUUCCAGGAAAAGCCUCUAAGCUUCAGAUUGUAAGGAAUCGUACCCCAAACCGACACAGGUGGUCGGGUAGAGAAUACCAAGGCGCUUGAGAGAACUCGGGUGAAGGAACUAGGCAAAAUGGUACCGUAACUUCGGGAGAAGGUACGCUCUUAUCAGUGAAGUCCCUUGCGGAUGGAGCAGACGAGAGUCGCAGAUACCAGGUGGCUGCAACUGUUUAUUAAAAACACAGCACUGUGCAAAAUCGUAAGAUGACGUAUACGGUGUGACGCCUGCCCGGUGCCGGAAGGUUAAUUGAUGGGGUUAGACUUCGGUCGAAGCUCUUGAUCGAAGCCCCGGUAAACGGCGGCCGUAACUAUAACGGUCCUAAGGUAGCGAAAUUCCUUGUCGGGUAAGUUCCGACCUGCACGAAUGGCGUAAUGAUGGCCACGCUGUCUCCACCCGAGACUCAGUGAAAUUGAAAUCGCUGUGAAGAUGCAGUGUACCCGCGGCUAGACGGAAAGACCCCGUGAACCUUUACUACAGCUUGGCACUGAACAUUGACCCUACAUGUGUAGGAUAGGUGGGAGACUUUGAAACCGCGUCGCCAGAUGUGGUGGAGUCGUCCUUGAAAUACCACCCUUGUAGUGUUGAUGUUCUAACGUUGGUCCCUGAAUCGGGAUUACGGACAGUGCCUGGUGGGUAGUUUGACUGGGGCGGUCUCCUCCCAAAGAGUAACGGAGGAGCACGAAGGUGGGCUAAUCACGGUUGGACAUCGUGAGGUUAGUGCAAUGGCAUAAGCCCGCUUGACUGCGAGAAUGACAAUUCGAGCAGGUGCGAAAGCAGGUCAUAGUGAUCCGGUGGUUCUGAAUGGAAGGGCCAUCGCUCAACGGAUAAAAGGUACUCCGGGGAUAACAGGCUGAUACCGCCCAAGAGUUCAUAUCGACGGCGGUGUUUGGCACCUCGAUGUCGGCUCAUCACAUCCUGGGGCUGAAGU